rnacentral:rRNA from 1 species
AUUGAACGCUGGCGGCAUGCUUUACACAUGCAAGUCGAACGGUAACAGGCCGCAAGGUGCUGACGAGUGGCGGACGGGCGAGUAAUGCACCGGAACGUGCCCAGUCGUGGGGGAUAACUACUCGUAAGAGUAGCUAAUACCGCAUACGAUCUAUGGAUGAAAGCGGGGGACCGUAAGGCCUCGCGCGAUUGGAGCGGGCGAUGUCGGAUUAGGUAGUUGGUGGGGUAAAGGCUCACCAAGCCAACGAUCUGUAGCUGGUCUGAGAGGACGACCAGCCACACUGGGACUGAGCCACGGCCCAGACUCCUACGGGAGGCAGCAGUGGGGAAUUUUGGACAGUGGGCGCAAGCCUGAUCCAGCAAUGCCGCGUGCAGGAAGAAGGCCUUCGGGUUGUAAACUGCUUUUGUACGGAACGAAACGGCUCUGGUUAAUACCCGGGGCUAAUGACGGUACCGUAAGAAUAAGCACCGGCUAACUACGUG